rnacentral:rRNA from 1 species
AUUGAACGCUGGCGGAAUGCUUUACACAUGCAAGUCGAACGGUAGAGGGGGCAACCCCUCGAGAGUGGCGAACGGGUGAGUAAUAUAUCGGAACGUGCCCAGUCGUGGGGGAUAACGUAGCGAAAGUUACGCUAAUACCGCAUACGAUCUUAGGAUGAAAGCGGGGGAUCGCGAGACCUCGCGCGAUUGGAGCGGCCGAUAUCAGAUUAGGUAGUUGGUGGGGUAAAGGCUCACCAAGCCAACGAUCUGUAGCUGGUCUGAGAGGACGACCAGCCACACUGGAACUGAGACACGGUCCAGACUCCUACGGGAGGCAGCAGUGGGGAAUUUUGGACAAUGGACGCAAGUCUGAUCCAGCCAUUCCGCGUGCAGGAUGAAGGCCCUCGGGUUGUAAACUGCUUUUGUACGGAACGAAAAGGUCUCUCUUAAUACGGGGGACUCAUGACGGUACCGUAAGAAUAAGCACCGGCUAACUACGUGCCAGCAGCCGCAGUAAUAC